GCAUUAUGAGAAAAGCACAGUGGAAUGACAAUGUCUGGCCUCCUUCCUUGCCUGGAUUACUCACAUGUACUUUCCAAGUCUCCACUCAGCUGUUACUCCUUUCAUCUUUUUGUUUUUUAAAUAAGUUUUAUUUUGUAUAUCUGAGGUUUAUGACAUGAUGUUACAGAAUAAACAAAGAUACGCAAAGAUACAUGGAAAAUGUGUAAGUACAUAUAUAUACAGUACAAUGGUUACUAUUAAAGACUUAAUUUCAAUAAUGUCAAGGAUCUGGCUAAAAUAUUAGGACUAAGAUAUUUUCUAAUUAUUUUAUGAUAUUUUUGCUCUACCCAUUAGUCUGUUAAACUUUGAGAGUUUAUUACCCUAAUAUGUUUUUAUUACCCAGUGUUUUCUAUAAUUGUCCAAGGAACACAAAAUUGCUUUGACAGAACUAUGACUGAAAACUCUAUUAUAGAUAUAAACAUUGAUCUAAAAACGGUUUUAAUUUUAAUUUAGCUAAUUAAGCUACUAUUGAUUAAAUUUAUGGUGUAAAAAGUUAACGCAAAUUUUUGCAUAUUUCAAAAAUAUAAGCCUAUAUAUGUAUACAAAUGUUUUAUAAAGUAAAAAUUAAGGGGUCAAUAAUAGUCAAAGAAUCAGUAUUAUUACAAAUGGAAAGUUUCAAAAUCUGUACAGAUAAAAUAAGUGGUUGCUAGCAAGUUAAUACAAAAAGUAUACAUUAUUUAUUAAAUUGUCAGGGUGCAGAUGUAUAUUUUAAGCAUAAAAUAUAAUUGCUAUGUAGGGUAAUUUCAAUUAGACUGUAAUCCAAGAAUGAUUUGGCUUAUUUUGCUUCCAGUCUGUUGGAGACUCUCUGAAUAAAGCAUUUCUUUUGAAGCAAUACAAAGUUCUAACUGAAAUUAAUAUUGCUGAGAUGCAGUCCAAAAUAUUAACACAAAAGAAGGCAAAACAAGAUAAGCCUGUAAUAAUGGGCAAACAAAAGAUGCACACCUUAGGUCCAGUGAAGUAUCUGCAAUCUGCAUACCCAUCCCUUCAAAUGUGAAAGGUUGGGAGAAAAGCAUCUUCUGUUACUGUAUGUAUAGAUCAGUUGGUGUUACAAAUCUCUAAGCUUCUAAAUAUUUAAAUUAAAAUUUGAUAAAUUUAGAAAGACAACUCUUUCCCCACCACACCCCACACACAGUGGUCCCCACCCAGAAAACAGGAAAGAAGAAUGAACAUAAGUUCCCAGGAUUCAAAGAAUCAAUCCCUGGACAGAACAGGGGAAGUGGUGCUUCUAUUUAAGGGCCUUCUCAUGACUGUCCCUCCACCCACUGGUUCAAGAAAGAGCCGAGUUGUUCAGUUUCAAAGUUCUGCUUUUCUAAGUUGUUUAAAGGGACUCUCAGAGAGAAAGGGGGGAGCAAUGAAAAAAAGAAGUUACAGAAAAAAAAAUGUCUUUGAAUUUUUAAGUUUUACUUUUCUCUCUAACAAAGUAACACUGUUCAUUACAGACUAAUAGCAUUUUCUCCCAUAAUUAGUAUCUAGAAAAUUCUAACAAUACUUUUGAUAUUUAAAAACACUUAUGAUUGGGCUGUUAAACUGGUUAGAAUAUGCAAAAUACGCCUUGACUUGGAUUUUCACAUUUCCUGUUUAUGUCUUUUAUUCUUCAUAAAAAUAUGAUGGUGUACUUUUAAGCUAUAGGUUGUGCUAAGACAAUUUAGUGGAUAGCAAUGGACACAAACCGGAAGCAGAGUUUCUUGGUGUUCUGCAAUGUAGACAACUAAACCAAAACCCUUAUUCAGCCAGAGAAAAGCUUCUGUGUUAUCACCUGCAGGGCAGUAAUGACAAGCUUGGUGAGGGUGUGGCCCUAGCCUAGACCCUUUUAGGCCUAUUACUUUGUAAGGACAGGUUGUCAAAGAGCAGAAAAGCAUCUACAAUCUAUGUGAUGAAGUGUCCUGCCAAAGAGUACAUUUCUAAGAUGUCAGCUCCAUGAGAUAAGGAUCCUAUGCAAAAUCGGGUCUUUAAAAUUCUCUGAUGAAAGUUACUCUGAAUGACAACAUGAUAAUGAGAGAACUACGAUCAGGAGUUAAGGAACUGGACUCUAAAUCCCAGAGAUACUCACAUGUAGGGAAGAGAGUUUGACUAAACUGCAUAAUCAAUCUGUGCCUCAGUUUCCUCCACUACAAAAUAUGGUAGCUAUAUUCAAUGACCUUCAAGUUUCUUGCCAGCUUUUACAUGUAAAAAUUCUACUUAAUUAUCAGAUACAAGAGGGUCCAAUACAGCUUCAGCAAAAUUAUCUUGAGAGCUUCAAAAAUAUAAUAAACAACUUAGUAAGUCUAUAAUGGGACUGAACUCUAUUUUUUUUUUCUUUUAACUCUCCUUGUUGUUUUAGCAGAUGAGUGAGUUUUGGGAAACACUGCCCUGUGGUACAACUGUGGGAUAAUUCUACAUUUACAUAUAUAUAUAAAAUUUUGAGAGUACAUGAAGUUUACCCUGCUCUUUAAGACAUCAAAUAUCCUAGAAAGGCAUGUCUGGCUUAUAAAUAGAAGCAGUAUGGUCCUAAAAAUCUGAAGGAAACAAGUCCGUGCUUAGAAAACUGAUACCAAAAAUGUUUAAAUGAAUAUAGACACACGUUGUAUUAUGGGCUGAAUUAGAGUUCACUCAAAAUUUCUAUUCUACUAAAGUCCUACUCACAGUAUCUCAGAAUGCCUGUAUUUGGAGACAGGGUCUUUAAAGAGAUCAGUAAAAUAAGGUAACUAGGGUGGACCCUAAUCUAACAUGAUUGGUGUUCUUAUAGUAAGAGAACAUUUUAACAUAGACAUAGUAGAGAGGGAAGACCAUCUGAAGACACAGGAAGAAAAUGAACAUCUACAAGUAUAGGAGAGAGGUGUCAGAAGAAACCAAACCUACUGACACCCUGAUCUCAAUUUCUAGCAACCAAAAUUUUGAGAAAACAAGUUUCCAUUGUUUAAGGCACCACUGUUUAAGUCUGUGGUAUUUUGUUAAGGCAGCCCUAGAAUGCUAAUACAUGCCAUCAACUUCUCCACUUAACUAUUAUAGGAGCAAACAAAGGAUAAUAUUACACCAUGUCUGUUCAAUCAUUCAACAAGCAUUUAUUUAAAAACCUGUAAGGGCUCACACAGGUGCAGUGGCUCACACCUGUAAUCCCAGCACUUCCCGAAGCCAAGGCGGGUGGAUCACUUGAGGUUUAGAAGUUCAAGACCAGCCUGGCCAACAUAGUGAAACCCCAUCUCUACUAAAAAUACAAAAAAUUAGCCAGGCAUGUUGGCCACGCUUAUAAUCCCAGCUACUUGGGAGGCUGAGGGACAAGAAUCACUUGAACCCAGGAGGCGGAGGUUGCAAUGAGCCAAGACUGGGCCAUGGCACUCCAGCCUGGGUGAUAAAGUGAGACUCUGCCUCAAAAAAUAAAAAAUAAAAAAAUAAAAAAUAAGGCAAAUGAACAAAAGUAAAAACCUGUGAGGUGAGCACUAUUAACAAAACAAGAGAAAAUGCUUGCCUUUGUGAGAAGCCAAGUAUACUGCAUCAUAGAAGAGAGUUUUCUCUUGCCAAAACGAGAAUCUGCUAUUAUGAAUCACACAAGUAACCAAACAAGUAUCACACAAAUCCUGGUGAAUGUGGACCAGAAAAAAAGUGAACUUAGUAUGUAAGAAUUACUGAAAAACAAAUAUAUUUCUAUUUUUAUUAAUGAAAAAUAACUGGCAGCCCAGGAGUUCAGACAAAAUCAUAGCCAUAGGAACAAGCUCAAGACAGCAAGUUUGGCUGCAAAAGUUAAGUUUUCUUAUUGACUUUUCCACUGUUCUUUUCAAAAAUCAGUGUUUUACUGUUUUGUAUUUUAUUAUGGCUACCUUAAAUAUUUUCUGCACUUGUUAACAUCUUUCCCCUUUUUUAGAAAAAAGAAAAGCUGACUUCCUGUUUGGAAUAGUACUAUCUGAACUACUUAUAAUUUCACAAUCAGUCAUUACUUACCUCUAAAAAACCAUAGCUUGUCAUUUUAUUAGGAUUUUUGUGGCCAGUGCAAUUUUAAAAACACACUUAAAAUGAAUCUUCCUUGGACAAAUACACACAUAUAAAUGUUUACCUUGAGUAGCAUAGCAACUGUUGCAAAACUAUUAGGGCCUACAAAGAUUUAUGUUGCAACUUUCCCAGUCAACUGCAUAUAGUACACUUCAAACUGAUAAAGUUUUCAAUUCAUUCAUACCUAACAAAAGGUUAGGAAUGCAGAUUAGGUUUUAUUGUCGGAGUUAAAAAUAAAACAAUAUUAUAAAAUGAUCAGGUGUUUAAGAGAAGACAAUAAAUGUCCAGCCUUGGGUAACAUCACUUCUUAAAGGUGUCUCCAAUCUCAUUUAUGUAAUGUCAAACUGAUAUAUUGUACAGAGGUCUUACUUUUAAAGAGCCUAAGCAGCAGACAGGGCAUGCAGACACAAAUGCCUGCCAGGAACAACUCACGGGAGGUUCUGUAAAGACACAAGAAUGUCCUGAAACAAUUCAUUUAAACACGCUUCUUUGCCUUUCCCUAUGUUCUUAUCCGAAUUCAUUCAAAAAGUUAUCUGGGUCAUGUUUUUAAAUUAUUUUUAAGCCGGCAAUGAAAAGCAAAUGCUUGCAUUCCUACUCAAGAACAGAUGUUUUAAUAUGGUGUGAGUAAUGCAGAUUAUAUAUUUAAGUGAGAAAUCCUAGGGAAGGUGGCCAAUUAUAUUCACAUCAAGGCUUAAAAUUGAGGGGUUCUUAUUCAAAGAGCAUGACAAUUGAAUAAAACUUGACAUAUCUAUAUAACCCAUCACAGCAACAGUCCAGUAUGAAAAGCGUAUGAGCCAGCAUUUAAAAGCAAUACAUUUUAAGGCUCAAACCUGCAACUGGCCUUCAAAGGCCAUGAGUUUCAUGGUUUCAGAAAAACCCCGGAGAGCAGAAGUCUUCCUGAGAAGAAUGGAUAUAUGAAAAAAGAGAUGGCUAAUUUUGCCCAAAGUGUUGUCUUAAAUAAAAGUAAUGUUUAUUUACUAAGUAGACCUUCUUACCAACUUGAUAGAUGAAACAACUGCUACGGACUCACUUUUCCCGUCAUCAUGAAACUGGAGAACCAUUACUAUCUAACCAGAUUUACAAACUAAAACACUGUUACUCUCAACACCUUCUCACCUAAAGCACUGGUGGUCUACAAACUAAAGAAAAAAAUUCACCCUAGUGCAAGCACUUUAGAUUUGAAGGUCUCCACAGAAGUCAACUCCACCACAGAGCAGGCUCAUUGUUGGCUGGUGAGUCAGAGUCAAUACACAGUUUCCCACUUCCUAGGUCAAACUGCGGGUUAUAAGUAAUAAUCAAUGUGGAAAACUAGAAUUCCAUGGGAUGACUAAAUAACAUAGUACUAAGAAUGCUUUCCACAAUGGCAUCUGUGGGAAGCCAAAAUUAAGGUUUUUUUUUUUUUUUUUUUUUACUAAAAUUUGAAAAACAAUUCCUCUGAAUAAACAAUGUGACAGGCCUUAAAAGCUAAAAUAACGUCUAUCAGUGGCAAGUGUUUGACAACAAAGUAUCGCAGGAAUUUUUUUCCUAAUCUUAUAUUGAAUACUUGUGGAUUUGCUUUGUUAUAAUACUCAAGAUAACGCCUAACAGUGAUGAACUUCCAAUGAAAGAAAAUGUAAACUAAGAACUAUUGGAAGAAAAACACACCUUCACUGCAAAACAUGAAAGAAUAUAUACCUCAAACCCAAAAUCUUUGAAGACACUUUCUUACAGAAAUUUAUCCUACAGUACAAUAUUUAUUCAAUGUAUCACUCAACCACCAUUAAGGGAAAUCGUGGAAUGUUUUGUGGAAAUCUAGCUCAGGAAUAGUGGCUAUAUUGGUAGACAUUGUCAAUUAUAUGUUCAAUAAGUUAAAUAGUUGGAUAAUACACUCAACUUCAUUCUAGCUUUGUAUGUGCCUUGAGUGGAAGGCCUUACUUUGGAGUAAGAAAUAAGGGUACAGAGUUAUUUACUUUAAAAUGUCUUGACAGUAUAAAAAGAGUGUUAAGUAGCUGAAACUGAGAGGGCAACAGAAAAAUCCCCCAGUGAACUGCUUUGAGGGGAAAAAUGAGCUAAUUCAGGGGAAGCCAUUAGAAUGUAUGCAAAGGUCAGCAAUGACCCCCCCACAUGGCUGAAUCCAAUGGUCUGUUUUUUCAGUCUUACUAACUGACCAAUCAGUGUGUGAAAGUGGCUUUUCACACACUGUGCUCUGCAGAUUUUCUUUUACCUAACAAGAUGCUUCUCCUUAGCUCUGAGUGCUGGUUCCUCCUUAUCACCUUCUUUUUACAUGCUGGAGUGUCCCAAGGAUCUCUGCUUGGACCUUUUCUAGUUUCUGUCUACAUGCUUCCCCUUGGUGAUCUUCUAUAGUUUCAAAGCAUUGCAUAUCAUUUAUACGCGGACUACCAGAAAAUUCCUAUUUCUUAUCAACACAUUAUUACCAUUUCAGUAAAUGCCAAUUCCGUAAUUUGCAGUCGUACUUUGCUCCUCUCUUUUCUGUGCUACACUCCAUAUCCCACAUCAAGUUAUCUUGGCUCAAUCUUCAUACUAUGUCUGGAAUCUGACCAUUUUCCCUACUUCCAUUGCUGCCACUUUACAAUUCAGGCCAACAUGUGAAACAGUCUUCUAACUGGUCUCCCUGUUAAACAAUGCCUUUGCCAUUGUUGUCUGAAUUAAAUAACAGAAAUUUACACAUUCUACAACAAAUGGUCAAUAGAGUAUUAGUAAAAAUACCAAUUACUUUUCUAGAAAAAUAUCCUGCUUUUAAAUUUCAAACUUAAAAAAUGGCCUUUAUUUUAAACAUUCUAUAGAUUAUUCACAGUGGAACUCAAUGGAAGGGCUUUGUACAGAUUUCACAAGCCUCGGUUAAUGCAGUAUGCCUCCUGCAACCUGCCAUUCAUCCCUCCCAGGUACAUUUUAUCCUGUCAGAAGGCACUCACUAACUCUCCUACUGCUGACAAUGCAAACAGUACUCUCUUCUUCAGGGUAGGGGAGGCAUACCUACCAGCCAUAGAAAAUGGGGCGUUUGUCAAAAUUACAUGGUGAACACCUCAUUUAUGUGUGUGUCUGUAGGAACAGGUAUUCAAAGGAGGGAUGAUUCCACCUACCUAGGAAAACUGGUAUAAGGAUUAAGCAAAAUAGCAUAUUUUAAAAAUUUAAUAAACAAUUCAGCACUAUACAUAUUUAG
rnacentral:lncRNA from 10 species